AAAAUACAAUAAUAUUCUUUAGCUUGUGUAAGCUUGCAGUUGCUUGCAACUCUUGCCAACGUAAUUAAGGAGAGAAAAAUUAAGCCGACAUUUACAAUUUUUCUAAUAGGCAGGUGUGCAGCCUGGAGAAUGUUGGGCCUUCAAAGGUAAUAAAGGUACAGUCGUGAUAAAGUUAUCCGGCAAUGUUCUGAUUUCUGGAGUUAGUCUUGAACAUAUACCACAAUCCAUUUCACCAAACGGUGAUAUUACCAGUGCUCCAAAAGAUUUUUCAAUCAGGGGCUUAGAUAGUGAUAGUGACGAACGUGGAUUCUUACUCGGUAAAUACACGUACAAUAGUUUUGGGCCUGCAGUCCAAUACUUCGACGUCCAAAAUGUCCCACGCAUACCGUAUGAAAUGAUCGAGUUGAAUAUUUUAUCCAAUAAUGGUAAUUAUAAUUAUACGUGUGUCUAUAGAUUUCGAGUUCAUGGAGCUCUCGUACAAC